rnacentral:rRNA from 1 species
CCUACGGGUGGCAGCAGUGAGGAAUAUUGGUCAAUGGGCGCGAGCCUGAACCAGCCAAGUCGCGUGAGGGAGGACGGCCCUACGGGUUGUAAACCUCUUUUGCCGGGGAGCAACGGGCGUCACGUGUGGCGCCACUGAUAGUACCCGGAGAAAAAGCAUCGGCUAACUCGGUGCCAGAAGCCGCGGUAAUCGGGAGGAUGCGAGGGUUAUCCGGAUUUAUUGGGUUUAAUGGGUGCUGAGGCGGCUCGUUAAGUCAGUGGUAAAAUUGAGGGGCUCAACCCCUGCCCGCCAUUGAAACUGGCGCUCUUGAGUGGAAGAGAAGUAUGCGGAAUGCGUGGUGUAGCGGUGAAAUGCAUAGAUAUCCCGCAGAACCCCGAUUGCGAAGGCAGCAUGCCGGCGUCCGACUGACGCUGAAGCACGAAAGCGUGGGGAUCGAACAGGAUUAGAUACCCUUGUAGUC